UACGGAGGGUGCAAACGUUGCUCGGAAUCAUUGGGCGUAAAGCGCACGUAGGCGGUUCGUUAAGUCGGGUGUGAAAGCCCUGGGCUCAACCCAGGAAGUGCAUCCGAAACUGGCGAGCUGGAGUAUGGAAGAGGGUCGCGGAAUUCCCGGUGUAGAGGUGAAAUUCGUAGAUAUCGGGAGGAACACCAGUGGCGAAGGCGGCGACCUGGGCCAAUACUGACGCUGAGGUGCGAAAGCGUGGGGAGCAAACAGG
rnacentral:rRNA from 1 species